rnacentral:rRNA from 1 species
AGCAGCCGCGGUAAUUCCAGCUCCAAUAGCGUAUAUUAAAGUUGUUGCAGUUAAAAAGCUCGUAGUUGAAUUUCGGGAUCAAUAUGUCGGUCGUGCCUUCGGUACGCACUGGUAUCAUUGGUCUCUCCUUUCUGACGAACCAUGAUGUCAUUAAUUUGGUGUUAUGGGGAGUUAGGACUGUUACUUUGAAAAAAUUAGAGUGUUUAAAGCAGGCUUUAGCUUGAAUACAUUAGCAUGGAAUAAUGAAAUAGGACGUUCGAACCUAUUUUGUUGGUUUCUAGGAUCAACGUAAUGAUUAAUAGGGAUAGUUGGGGGCAUUAGUAUUCAAUUGUCAGAGGUGAAAUUCUUGGAUUUAUUGAAGACUAACUACUGCGAAAGCAUUUGCCAAGGAUGUUUUCAUUAAUCAAGAACGAAAGUUAGGGGAUCGAAGACGAUCAGAUACCGUCGUAGUCUUAACCAUAAACUAUGCCGACUAGGGAUCGGAUGAUGUUAAUUUUUUAAUGACACA